CGUCUUGCAGAUCCUUACCACCAGCCUCAGAAAUCUCCCCUGGUUUCUUGUCAAACAAUCCCUUGAACUGUUGACGAGCUCGUUUAUGAAUUUCCUGCCACGUGCAUUGGUACAAAAACAAUCGACUGAUAAGAAACCUUGGUAUUUGUUUGUUCAACAUGAUUAUAAGCGUUCCACAAUCGAGGCAACAUUUAAUUUAUACUAACCUGCUCCUCCUUUUUCAGUUUAAGAAGAGCUGCGUUGGCGGUUGCUUCUGAUGAUUUGUCAACGCUCGUCAUCUAAAAG
rnacentral:lncRNA from 1 species